AUGUCUGUUUUUAAACUGCCUAAAGGAAUUUGCAAGUCAAUUACUGAUGAGAUAGCAGGUUUUUGGUGGGGAGAUGGAGAAGAAAAGAAAAGGAUGCAUUGGUUUGCGUGGUGGAAAAUGUGUGUGCCAAAGAAGAAGGGUGGCAUGGGGUUUAGGGACCUUCACAGCUUUAAUCUUGCUAUGUUAGCAAAGCAGUGUUGGCGACUUCUCCAAAACCCUGACUCAUUGUGUGCGCAAGUUUUGAGUGCUAAGUACUAUCCUAAUGGAGACAUACUAAGAGCUGGACCAAACAAGGGUUCUUCUUAUACUUGGCAAAGUAUAGUUGCAGGAAUUCAGACCUUCAAAAGAGGUUGUAUAUGGAGGGUUGGCUCAGGAUCCAGUAUAAAUAUUUGGGAAGAUCCCUGGAUUCCA
rnacentral:rRNA from 1 species